rnacentral:rRNA from 1 species
CAGUAGCCGCGGUAAUACGGAGGGAGCUAGCGUUGUUCGGAAUUACUGGGCGUAAAGCGCACGUAGGCGGUUAUUCAAGUCAGAGGUGAAAGCCCGGGGCUCAACCCCGGAACUGCCUUUGAAACUAGAUGACUAGAAUCUUGGAGAGGUCAGUGGAAUUCCGAGUGUAGAGGUGAAAUUCGUAGACAUUCGGAAGAACACCAGUGGCGAAGGCGACUGACUGGACAAGUAUUGACGCUGAGGUGCGAAAGCGUGGGGAGCAAACAGGAUUAGAUACCCGAGUAGUCCCUGUCUCUUAUAC